GACGAACGCUGGCGGCGUGCUUAACACAUGCAAGUCGAACGGAAAGGCCCUGCUUUUGUGGGGUGCUCGAGUGGCGAACGGGUGAGUAACACGUGAGUAACCUGCCCUUGCCUUUGGGAUCACUUCAUGAAACUGGGGCUAAUACCGGAUAGGAGCUCCUGCUGCAUGGUGGGGGCUGGAAAGUUUCGGCGGUUGGGGAUGGACUCGCGGCUUAUCAGCUUGUUGGUUGGGUAGUGGCCUACCAAGGCUUUGCCGGGUAGCCGGCCUGCGAGGGUGACCGGCCACAUUGGGACUGAGCUACGGCCCAGACUCCUACGGGAGGCAGCAGUGGGGAAUAUUGCACAAUGGGCGGAAGCCUGAUGCAGCAACGCCGCGUGCGGGAUGACGGCCUUCGGGUUGUAAACCGCUUUCGCCUGUGACGAAGCGUGAGUGACGGUAAUGGGUAAAGAAGCACCGGCUAACUACGUG
rnacentral:rRNA from 1 species